GCCAGGUUAGCUCAGUCGGUAGAGCGUUGGACUUUUAAUCCAUCGGUCAAGGGUUCAAGUCCCUUAUCGGGCU
rfam:Ciona savignyi cont_42878, whole genome shotgun sequence.